UGCGGACAGGUUCGGCCAUGAACCUUACAACACUACUCGUCGUGGUUCAACUUAUCGUGUUCUCGGUCUCCUUCUCAACAGCUUGCCAUGGCGAUGAUGGGGGAUUCGAAGAGCAACAUGAGAUAGAUCCCGUCAACAAAAACCCUUACCCACCUGUGAGACCAUCGCAUUAUUUCGCGUAAUUCUCUCGAAGCAGUUGAUUAAUUCAAUUAUUUCCGGCUCCCCGUUGGCGAUGCAGCAUUCCGUGGGUCCCGGAGGCCAUUGCCAAAGCACGCUAGAGUGUCAACGCGGUUGGUGUUGCGCGAGACAGCGCAAACGGAACGGCGGCUACACCUGCCAGAAGAUGCACGGACUUGGUCGCAGGUGUACCAUGGAGACGCAGAUUAAGGCUGGAAGGUAUUAUUACCACUGUCCCUGCGUCAGCCAUCUGGCGUGUCGUGGGAACCAUGCACUCAAGCUGUGCGUUCCGAAGAACUGGUCACUCGAUGACGUGACGUAUUAAAGCUUUGCAAACUGCU